rnacentral:rRNA from 1 species
UACGAAGGGGGCUAGCGUUGUUCGGAUUUACUGGGCGUAAAGCGCACGUAGGCGGAUCGAUCAGUCAGGGGUGAAAUCCCAGAGCUCAACUCUGGAACUGCCUUUGAUACUGUCGAUCUGGAGUAUGGAAGAGGUGAGUGGAAUUCCGAGUGUAGAGGUGAAAUUCGUAGAUAUUCGGAAGAACACCAGUGGCGAAGGCGACACACUGGCCCGUAACUGACGCUGAGGCGCGAAAGCGUGGGGAGCAAACAGG